GCAGCCGCCACGGUAAAACGGAGGGUGCAAGCGUUAAUCGGAAUUACUGGGCGUAAAGCGCACGCAGGCGGUUUGUUAAGUCAGAUGUGAAAUCCCCGAGCUUAACUUGGGAACUGCAUUUGAAACUGGCAAGCUAGAGUCUUGUAGAGGGGGGUAGAAUUCCAGGUGUAGCGGUGAAAUGCGUAGAGAUCUGGAGGAAUACCGGUGGCGAAGGCGGCCCCCUGGACAAAGACUGACGCUCAGGUGCGAAAGCGUGGGGAGCAAACAGGAUUAGAUACCCGCGUAGUCCCUGUCUCUUAUAC
rnacentral:rRNA from 1 species